rnacentral:rRNA from 1 species
AUUGAACGCUGGCGGCAUGCCUUACACAUGCAAGUCGAACGGCAGCACGGGGGCAACCCUGGUGGCGAGUGGCGAACGGGUGAGUAAUGCAUCGGAACGUACCCGGAAGUGGGGGAUAACGUAGCGAGAGUUACGCUAAUACCGCAUAUUCUGUGAGCAGGAAAGCAGGGGAUCGCAAGACCUUGCGCUUUCGGAGCGGCCGAUGUCGGAUUAGCUAGUUGGUGGGGUAAAAGCCUACCAAGGCGACGAUCCGUAGCUGGUCUUAGAGGAUGAUCAGCCACACUGGGACUGAGACACGGCCCAGACUCCUACGGGAGGCAGCAGUGGGGAAUUUUGGACAAUGGGGGCAACCCUGAUCCAGCCAUGCCGCGUGAGUGAAGAAGGCCUUCGGGUUGUAAAGCUCUUUCGGACAGAAAGAAAUCGCAUCGGCUAAUACUCGAUGUGGAUGACGGUACUGUCAUAAGAAGCACCGGCUAACUACGUGCCAGCCGCCGCGGUAA